UGUCUCAAUAGCUCAGCUGGAUAGAGCAACAGCCUCCUAAGCUGUAGGUCGGGCGUUCAAAUCGCCUUUGGGACAU
rnacentral:tRNA from 1 species